rnacentral:rRNA from 1 species
ACGGAAGGCAGCAGUGGGGAAUAUUGCACAAUGGGCGAAAGCCUGAUGCAGCGACGCCGCGCGAGUGAAGAAGUAUCUCGGUAUGUAAAGCUCUAUCAGCAGGGAAGAAAAUGACGGUACCUGACUAAGAAGCCCCGGCUAACUACGUGCCAGCAGCCGCGGUAAUACGUAGGGGGCAAGCGUUAUCCGGAUUUACUGGGUGUAAAGGGAGCGUAGACGGUUUGGCAAGUCUGAAGUGAAAUGCGGGGGCUCAACUCCUGAACUGCUUUGGAAACUGUCGAACUAGAGUGCAGGAGAGGUAAGUGGAAUUCCUAGUGUAGCGGUGAAAUGCGUAGAUAUUAGGAGGAACACCAGUGGCGAAGGCGGCUUACUGGACUGUAACUGACGUUGAGGCUCGAAAGCGUGGGGAGCAAACAGGAUUAGAUACCCUGGUA